rnacentral:lncRNA from 1 species
AUUAUGCUUUGACAAAGAAAAUCCCACUGAUAAAUACUCCUUUAAAUCUCUUCUGUAUAGUUCAUUAUGUAGCUAUGAAAUGUUACAUGUGCAAUGUGCCGUCAAAUGCUUUCAUUUCAGUCCUUUAUGUUUCCGAAUGCUCUGUGAUCAAAAGCAAGGUUAGAAGAUUGUUUUCUCUCAUUGGUAGAAGUUUAUAUUCCCAAUCUGUCCUAAUGAGCAAUGUUUCUUAAAAAGUUCCUUUGUUGGAUGUUGGCAAAUCCAGUGUUCCGUUUUCAAUGCUUACACUUUGGACAAUAGGAUAAUUCGCUGCAAUUAUUUUUCCCUUGGGUUUGGAAACGAAAUGUUUUGCCAUACAAACCUGAACCUUAAUUAUUG